rnacentral:rRNA from 1 species
UACGGGGGGGGCAAGCGUUGUCCGGAAUCACUGGGCGUAAAGGGCGUGUAGGCGGGAUGGUCAGUUAGAGGUGAAAACCUGCGGCUUAACCGUAGGCGUGUCUUUAAUACUGCCAUUCUUGAGUGCGAGAGGGGGAAGUGGAAUUCUUGGUGUAGCGGUGAAAUGCGUAGAUAUCAAGAAGAACACCGGUAGCGAAGGCUGCUUCCUGGCUCGUAACUGACGCUGAGGCGCGAAAGCGUGGGGAGCAAACAGG